GUUACCGUCUCUGGUAAAAACAUCUAACCAUAUGCCAGAUUCGUUGAUUCAGGCUACAAAAGUACCUGUUAAAGAGUAUGAGUUUGAUGAAAAGAAGAUGGCAAAUGUGCAGUCUCAUCUGGAAAAAUUGGUUGCCAAUAACUAUUACUUGAACAGGUCUCCAAAAGAUGCGUACAGAUAAAUAUAUUAUUCAUGAAGUGAAGGCAAGAAUAGUUGAAUGGUAUAUGAUUAUGAACAGGGGCAAAUGCGUAAAACAAAUUAUGAUUCUUUUUAUUAUGGAUGGUGCACAGGACAAGGGCAGGCUGGUCAAGACUGGAAGCUUUACACAUUCAUAUCCAUUUUGUUGAAGAUCUGAUACCCCUCUUAUCUACAGAGCAGUUCCCAUGAUGAGCAGUUGCUUGAAGCAGCUUGGUGUCUUACAAACAUAGCUGCUGGAAAACCUAAAGAAACAAGAGCUUAAUUGCCUGCAUUACCUUUACUCAUUGCUCAAAUUGGAGAGUUCAGUGCCUGUUGCAGAGCAGUGUGCAUAAGCAUUAGGAAAUGUUGCAGGAGAAGGUGAAGAACCGAGACAAAUUCUGAUUUCUCAAGGGGCAUUACUUCCUCUUGCAAAAAUGAUGUUGCCAAAUAAAGUUUCAGUUAACGGGUGAACCAAGUUUCU